GCACAAGCGGUGGAGCAUGUGGUUUAAUUCGAUGCGACGCGAAGAACCUUACCUGGUCUUGACAUCCACAGAAUUUCGCAGAGAUGCGGAAGUGCCUUCGGGAACUGUGAGACAGGUGCUGCAUGGCUGUCGUCAGCUCGUGUUGUGAAAUGUUGGGUUAAGUCCCGCAACGAGCGCAACCCUUAUCCUUUGUUGCCAGCGGUUAGGCCGGGAACUCAAAGGAGACUGCCAGUGAUAAACUGGAGGAAGGUGGGGAUGACGUCAAGUCAUCAUGGCCCUUACGACCAGGGCUACACACGUGCUACAAUGGCGCAUACAAAGAGAAGCGACCUCGCGAGAGCAAGCGGACCUCAUAAAGUGCGUCGUAGUCCGGAUUGGAGUCUGCAACUCGACUCCAUGAAGUCGGAAUCGCUAGUAAUCGUGGAUCAGAAUGCCACGGUGAAUACGUUCCCGGGCCUU
rnacentral:rRNA from 1 species